UGCCGUAGCUACUAGUCUUUAGCUGUCCUUAUGGUAGCAGUUGUGGCAUUCCACUGUGAAAAACUGUUAAGUGAUUAAACACCCCUUUCUUAGUAAAAUAGAAGUGGGCAUAUGUUUGACAAACAGAA